AUUGAACGCUGGCGGCAUGCCUUACACAUGCAAGUCGAACGGUAACAGGUUAAGCUGACGAGUGGCGAACGGGUGAGUAAUGUAUCGGAACGUGCCCAGUCGUGGGGGAUAACUACUCGAAAGAGUGGCUAAUACCGCAUACGACCUGAGGGUGAAAGCGGGGGACCGUAAGGCCUCGCGCGAUUGGAGCGGCCGAUAUCAGAUUAGCUAGUUGGUGGGGUAAAAGCCCACCAAGGCGACGAUCUGUAGCUGGUCUGAGAGGACGACCAGCCACACUGGGACUGAGACACGGCCCAGACUCCUACGGGAGGCAGCAGUGGGGAAUUUUGGACAAUGGACGCAAGUCUGAUCCAGCCAUGCCGCGUGCGGGAAGAAGGCCUUCGGGUUGUAAACCGCUUUUGUCAGGGAAGAAACGAGUUUCUCUAAUACAGAGACUUAAUGACGGUACCUGAAGAAUAAGCACCGGCUAACUACGUGCCAGCAGCCGCCGUAAGAC
rnacentral:rRNA from 1 species